rnacentral:rRNA from 1 species
UGGGGAAUAUUGGACAAUGGGCGAAAGCCUGAUCCAGCCAUGCCGCGUGUGUGAAGAAGGUCUUCGGAUUGUAAAGCACUUUAAGUUGGGAGGAAGGGCAGUAAGCGAAUACCUUGCUGUUUUGACGUUACCGACAGAAUAAGCACCGGCUAACUCUGUGCCAGCAGCCGCGGUAAUACAGAGGGUGCGAGCGUUAAUCGGAAUUACUGGGCGUAAAGCGUGCGUAGGCGGCUAAUUGAGUCGGAUGUGAAAUCCCCGAGCUUAACUUGGGAAUUGCAUUCGAUACAGGUUAGCUAGAGUGUGGGAGAGGAUGGUAGAAUUCCAGGUGUAGCGGUGAAAUGCGUAGAGAUCUGGAGGAAUACCGAUGGCGAAGGCAGCCAUCUGGCCUAACACUGACGCUGAGGUACGAAAGCAUGGGGAGCAAACAGG